rnacentral:rRNA from 1 species
UGGGGAAUUUUGGACAAUGGGCGAAAGCCUGAUCCAGCAAUGCCGCGUGUGUGAAGAAGGCCUUCGGGUUGUAAAGCACUUUUGUCCGGAAAGAAAUCCUUGGCUCUAAUACAGUCGGGGGAUGACGGUACCGGAAGAAUAAGCACCGGCUAACUACGUGCCAGCAGCCGCGGUAAUACGUAGGGUGCAAGCGUUAAUCGGAAUUACUGGGCGUAAAGCGUGCGCAGGCGGUUUGCUAAGACCGAUGUGAAAUCCCCGGGCUCAACCUGGGAACUGCAUUGGUGACUGGCAGGCUAGAGUAUGGCAGGAGGGGGGUAGAAUUCCACGUGUAGCAGUGAAAUGCGUAGAGAUGUGGAGGAAUACCGAUGGCGAAGGCAGCCCCCUGGGCCAAUACUGACGCUCAUGCACGAAAGCGUGGGGAGCAAACAGGAUUCAGAUACCCUGGUAGUCCACGCCCUAAACGAUGUCAACUAGUUGUUGGGGAUUCAUUUCCCUAGUAACGUAGCUAACGCGUGAAGUUGACCGCCUGGGGAGUACGGUCGCAAGAUUAAAACUCAAAUGAAUUGACGGGGUCAUAGCUGUUUCC